GUGAGGAAUUUUCCGCAAUGGGCGAAAGCCUGACGGAGCAAUGCCGCGUGAAGGAUGAAGGCCUAUGGGUUGUAAACUUCUUUUCUUAGAGAAGAAUAUUGAUGGUAUCUGAGGAAUAAGCAUCGGCUAACUCUGUGCCAGCAGCCGCGGUAAGACAGAGGAUGCAAGCGUUAUCCGGAAUGAUUGGGCGUAAAGCGUCUGUAGGUGGUUUCAAAAGUCUCCUGUCAAAGAUCAGGGCUUAACCCUGGGCCGGCAGGAGAAACUCUGAGGCUAGAGUUUGGUAGGGGCAGAGGGAAUUCCCGGUGGAGCGGUGAAAUGCGUAGAGAUCGGGAGGAACACCAAAGGCGAAAGCACUCUGCUGGGCCACAACUGACACUGAGAGACGAAAGCGAGGGGAGCAAAAGGGAUUAGAAACCCUUGUAGUCC
rnacentral:rRNA from 1 species